UACGUAGGUGGCAAGCGUUAUCCGGAAUGAUUGGGCGUAAAGGGUGCGUAGGCGGCAAAAUAAGUCUGAAGUAAAAGGCGUUGGCUCAACCAACGUAAGCUUUGGAAACUGUUAAGCUAGCGUGCAGGAGAGGUUAGUGGAAUUCCAUGUGUAGCGGUAAAAUGCGUAGAUAUAUGGAGGAACACCAGUGGCGAAGGCGGCUAACUGGCCUGUAACGGACGCUGAGGCACGAAAGCGUGGGGAGCAAACAGG
rnacentral:rRNA from 1 species